rnacentral:rRNA from 1 species
GACGAACGCUGGCGGCGUGCCUAAUACAUGCAAGUAGAACGCUGAAGGAGGAGCUUGCUUCUCUGGAUGAGUUGCGAACGGGUGAGUAACGCGUAGGUAACCUGCCUGGUAGCGGGGGAUAACUAUUGGAAACGAUAGCUAAUACCGCAUAAGAGUAGAUGUUGCAUGACAUUUGCUUAAAAGGUGCAAUUGCAUCACUACCAGAUGGACCUGCGUUGUAUUAGCUAGUUGGUGGGGUAACGGCUUACCAAGGCGACGAUACAUAGCCGACCUGAGAGGGUGAUCGGCCACACUGGGACUGAGACACGGCCCAGACUCCUACGGGAGGCAGCAGUAGGGAAUCUUCGGCAAUGGACGGAAGUCUGACCGAGCAACGCCGCGUGAGUGAAGAAGGGUUUCGGAUCGUAAAGCUCUGUUGUAAGAGAAGAACGAGUGUGAGAGUGGAAAGUUCACACUGUGACGGUAGCUUACCAGAAAGGGACGGCUAACUACGUG